GGAGAGGAGGAGGAGGGAAGGAGGAAAGAGAAGGAGGAAGAGGGCUCGGUUUGCCCUAGGGAGGAGGAUUGGGGGGUUUUUAUCACCCCCCUCGUGAUGGCUCUCCGCCGCGAAGAUCGCGGCGGCCGAGCGAGAUCCGCGGCCGUGAUUCGGCCGCGGAUGAGCUGGAGGGGGGGGUGCCGCGGGACUAGCGACAUCCCCGCCCCGAUCAUCCCCGAAAGAGCCGGAGAGGAUCGCAAAUCGCGAUCCUCUGUUCCGGCCUUCCAAAAAGAGAACGGGACUGAAGUCGGCAGGGGCUGCCGACUUCAGCCCGUGUCUCACA
rnacentral:lncRNA from 1 species